AAAAAACAAAACUUCCCAACCCUCGGUCGACCCCGGCCUCCACCAUACCGCAUCCGCCGCCCGCCGCCCUCCACCCUGCCGCGGAGCCGAACGCCGCCGCCGCUCGCAGCAUGCCGUAGAACCGGCCGCCGGAAGCGCGGGCCGCGGAGCCGACCGCCGCCGCCGCUCGCAGCGCGCCUCAGAUCCGGCCGCCAGAGGUCCACGCGCCGGCGUGCCGCGCAGCGGCAGGCCCCGACGCACCAAACCCUAAAGAGCUGGCCCCGCCGGCGCCGCCCUGGGGAUGGCGCCACACCACAUCGCCGCCUCCUCUCCGCCUCUCGCCUCCUCCCCACGCAUGCCCAUGCUCCACUCCGCCUCGUGAUCGGACCGGCGCGGAUCUUCUUGGAGAUUUGGGGGGUAGUUUGGUUUUGUUGCUAUUUUCGGAACGCCACGAAGCCGGCCGCCGGACAACGCCCGCCGCACGCCUGCGGCUGACGGCGCGGCCGCUGCGCCGGGCCGCCGCCGUCUGCCCCAACGCCCGCCGCCAACUCUAUAUCCUCAAGCGCCGGCGGCAUUGGAGAUCCGCAUGCGGGAGGCCACGGAGAGGGCGAGCAUGGCAUGGCUGGGGCGACCUCCAAUCCCUGCCGAGGCUUUCUUGGAUUUCCCUCCCUGUGCGUGGAUGAACUGUCGUUGGUUUUCCCAUGUAGUUGGCGCAGCUUCUUGAUUGAUUCUUGGUGAAACCCGGUUUGUGCCUGGUUGAGUCGGAACUGUGUCCCCAGAUUCUUGGUUUCAAAAACCUAGGUUCUUGAUUGAUUAGCCUUUUCCCAUGAGUGGUGUUAAGAUUGUGUGGCCCGUGGUGGAAAUUCCUGUUUAUUUGGAGUUGAAUCAGGAACAAAUUUUUAGUUAUGGAACCAUAGCCCUUCGAUUCGAUUUAGGGAUCAAGGCCGAGGUUCUGGUGGCUUGCAGUCGCAGACCACUUUGUGUUGGUGUUUUUUUUCCUAGAUUGGUUUGGUCGUUAUCCCCAAGAUUGCAUGUUCUGCUGCAAUAAAUAGUUUUAACAUUUAGGCCAUUUCUAGCUGAACUGAGAUGGUGAUCUCGCAAUUGCAUUAUAAUUAGGCUCUCCAGUUGAUUCACAUAUUCUUUCUUAUGAGAUUGGCUUGAUAAAUGAAGCAUGAAUCUACUAUUAUUGGUGGUUUGUUCGUGUGCCAGUGUCAUCAGUCAUCACUAUUGGUGGUUUUUCAUUGGUACACCACAAGUUCAUACAGAAUCUGAUAGCGAAGUGAGAGAAAAGAGGGGGAGGGGUGGUAACCGGAGCAGGUUUCAGAAAGAGCACCUAGCAGACUGACAUUCAGCCCAACUAAGCCCCUUGAUUGAAACAUAAGCAGAUUUAAGAAAGACCACCUAGCAGACUGACAUUCACCCCCAUUGCCUAUGUGGGUCACAUAAUCAGUAAUUGAACACUAGGCACCACUGUUGCUUGGCUAGCUCAUUUUUUUAAUUCUGAAAUAUAUCACCAUUGGUGUUCUACAUGCAUGUGAAUACAUGGUAUUUAAUUUCAUAAAAUUUCAAGAGCUACCAUUUUGCUUACACUGGUGCAUAAUUGUUACAAUUGUUACAUACAUGAUUUGUCAAGUGCUUGAUUAUCUAAGGUCUAUGUAGGGAAUGUGCUGCAUUACCAGAAGAUGGAAUCCGUAUGCAAUGUUGCCUCAAUUCAGUGUAUUUUUCUCUGCUGCAGUGCUUAAAAUUUUUGGUAUGAAAGAUGUCCCUUUGGAGCUUCUGCCUGUUGGACAGUAUGUAACUGAUGCAUGUACUAUUAUAUUAGCAUCAUACUACUAUUGUUGACUGUUGCCUGUUGGACAGUAUGGAGAGCUUUCUCGAAAUUGAGCAGUUUGGAGAGUCUCAUUCUACCAUAAAUCGGCUCCUAGGAGCAUUGUCCUAAAAGAAAAGCAAAUGCAUCUGCCAACCGUGUCGCAGGUGCGCCCCCGAGAUCCAACAGCUACGCAUCCUCCCUGCCAUCUGACGUUGCUGACGGAGUUCUUGGUUCAAAUCUUUUAUGAAUUCAGUUAGAUGCAGCAAAAGAUUACACUCAACCGUACUCUGAACAGCUAUAAAAAGAGUUCAGUAAAGUAGUGAUGAGAAGAUGAGACCUGCACUAAAAUAUUCUUAAUUGUUGAAGUUUACAGGGUCCAAGAGCAGAACACGGGUUGUGACAUGGGCCACAUGAAUAUGAGGAAGACAUUGACAGUUCACCCUUGACUUCAGUUAGAUGCAGUAAGAUAACUUCUAUAUUGUGCUAUUUUUCUAAUGCUCUGUGAACAAAUGCCAAUCAUAGAUAUAUAGUGGUUCUUUCAUUUUGCAGUGAUCAAGACAUGCUUAAUUCUUGAAACUGGAUAGCUGCAUGUAUUAACCAGCUAAUCUUUGUUUUUUUUGUCCCAAAGUGUUCCGGCAUCUAUAGUAUUAUUAAGAAUACUGCAUUUGGGCCUCCAAGUAUAGUCUGCAAUUUUAAAAUGAAACAUAAACUUAAAAUUAUUCUGUACCAUUUGCUUUCAUGAUUUAGAGCUGAGAGAAUGGCAAGCCGAGAAAAUAUUUGUGGCUUGUUAUGGUUGACAUGCAAUUCCAAAGUUGUAAAUACAGUUAGGGACUGUAUUUUUUCUUGGUUAUAUUUCUUACCAUUACUUCUUAGUUCUUACCUUGGAGAGUUGGAAUUGAAUUACAAGUAUAGCCACUGAGAUACAUAGGUCAGUAGUAUCAAACUUGAAUGUCUGUAUACUUCUCUAAAUGCACACAGAUAGCCAGCAUUUACAAAGAUUAUCCAAAGACAAGAAAUUAAUAAUGCCUUUUACUAAAUGUUCAAGUGCAUAUGUGCGUGAUCUCCAUUCUGCCCUUAUAUAGAUCUGAUAGCUGAGAUUAUUAAAUGCUGGUCUGAUGAAUGAAAAAAAAAUCUUAUUAUGAAGUUAUUUGUUUGUUGUAGUGGGGUACUUUCUUAUUUGUGCUGGUGAAAAAUUGUUCAUUGGAGUAGCAUGGGAUGGUCAUCAAGGAGAAAUAUGUCAUGGUGCUAUCUAAUAUUCUCUUAUGGAUAUCAUAUCAAAAGUUGGAAUGAUAUGUUUGUUUUGAAAGUUAGGCGCUUGACCAUCACAGCCCUGUAUGCAUUCUUUCUGAGUAUAAUUAUGUGAUGUUGAGUAUAA